UCGAGGAUCUUCGGCAAUGGGCGCAAGCCUGACCGAGCGACGCCGCGUGCGGGAUGAAGGCCUUCGGGUUGUAAACCGCUGUCAGAGGGGAUGAAAUACUUGGGGGUUCUCCCCCAAGCUUGACAUAUCCUCAGAGGAAGUGUGGGCUAAGUUCGUGCCAGCAGCCGCGGUAAGACGAACCACACAAACGUUAUUCGGAAUUACUGGGCUUAAAGGGUGCGUAGGCGGCGCGGAAAGUUGGGUGUGAAAUCCCUCGGCUCAACCGAGGAACUGCGCCCAAAACUACCGUGCUCGAGGGAGAUAGAGGUGAGCGGAACUUAGGGUGGAGCGGUGAAAUGCGUUGAUAUCCUAAGGAACACCCGUGGCGAAAGCGGCUCACUGGGUCUCUUCUGACGCUGAGGCACGAAAGCUAGGGUAGCGAACGGGAUUAGAUACCCCCGUAGUCC
rnacentral:rRNA from 1 species